rnacentral:rRNA from 1 species
UACGAAGGGGGCUAGCGUUGCUCGGAAUCACUGGGCGUAAAGCGCAUGUAGGCGGAUUGCUAAGUCAGGGGUGAAAUCCUGGAGCUCAACUCCAGAACUGCCUUUGAUACUGGCGAUCUUGAGUCCGGGAGAGGUGAGUGGAACUGCGAGUGUAGAGGUGAAAUUCGUAGAUAUUCGCAAGAACACCAGUGGCGAAGGCGGCUCACUGGCCCGGUACUGACGCUGAGGUGCGAAAGCGUGGGGAGCAAACAGG